rnacentral:rRNA from 1 species
AGAGUUUGAUCCUGGCUCAGGACGAACGCUGGCGGCGGGCCUAACACAUGCAAGUCGAACGCACUCGACCUUCGGGUCACAUGAGUGAGUGGCGAACGGGUGAGUAACACGUGAGGAACCUGCCCCGAAGACUGGAAUAACCCGAGGAAACUCGGGCUAAUACCGGAUAUCCCCACCAGGUCGCAUGGCCAGGUGAGGAAAUGCUCCGGCGCUUCGGGAGGGUCUCGCGGCCUAUCAGCUAGUUGGUGAGGUAACGGCUCACCAAGGCAUCGACGGGUAGCUGGUCUGAGAGGACGAUCAGCCACACUGGGACUGAGACACGGCCCAGACUCCUACGGGAGGCAGCAGUGGGGAAUCUUGCGCAAUGGGCGAAAGCCUGACGCAGCCACGCCGCGUGAGGGAUGAAGGCUUUCGGGUUGUAAACCUCUUUCAGCAGGGACGAAAAUGACGGUACCUGCAGAAGAAGCUCCGGCCAACUACGUGCCAGCAGCCGCGGUAACACGUAGGGAGCAAGCGUUGUCCGGAUUUAUUGGGCGUAAAGAGCUCGUAGGCGGUUUAGUAAGUCGGGUGUGAAAACUUGAGGCUCAACCUCAAGAGGCCACUCGAUACUGCUGUGACUGGAGUCCGGUAGAGGAGUGUGGAAUUCCUGGUGUAGCGGUGAAAUGCGCAGAUAUCAGGAGGAACACCGAUGGCGAAGGCAGGUUACUGGGCAGUUACUGACGCUGAGGAGCGAAAGCAUGGGUAGCGAACAGGAUUAGAUACCCUGGUAGUCCAUGCCGUAAACGGUGGGCGCUAGGUGUGAGGGUCUUUUCACGACUUUCGUGCCGUAG